AUUGAACGCUGGCGGCAGGCCUAACACAUGCAAGUCGAGCGAGCGGCGGACGGGUGAGUAAUGUAUGGGGACUGCCCGAUAGAGGGGGAUAACUACUGGAAACGGUGGCUAAUACCGCAUACUAUCGGAUAACCCAUAUGGGAUUAGCUAGUAGGUGGGGUAAAGGCUCACCUAGGCGACGAUCUCUAGCGGGUCUGAGAGGAUGAUCAGCCACACUGGGACUGAGAAACGGCCCAGACUCCUACGGAGGCAGCAGUAGGGAAUCUUCCGCAAUGGGCGAAAGCCUGAUGCAGCCACGCCGCGUGAAUGAAGAAGGUCUUCGGAUUGUAAAAUACUUUUAUUGGGGAGGCGUUACCUGCAGAGGAAGCCACGGCUAACUACGUGCCAGCAGCCGCGGUAAUUC
rnacentral:rRNA from 1 species